rnacentral:lncRNA from 1 species
GAUUACAAAAUAUGCUCUAGACUUAUGAGUGGAGAUUGAACCUUCAACCACAUGAUUAUGAGAUGAGGUAAGCAACCACCAUGCCAACCUUGUGAUUAAUAUAUCUAUAAUUAAUUUUUAUUGAUAGAGAGUUAAACCCUAACAAAUACAAAAUGAGCUCAACAUUUGUAACCUUCCCAACCCGGCCUAGACGUUAGACUCGAAUUCAAAAGAAUACAUUAGCCACUGAAGUGACUCGGUGAGCUAUUGUAGUUUUGAAAGCAAUCUUUUUUAAAACCUUUGUUUAAUUUAGUAAGAAUCUUAAUUACAUAUCAAUUAAUUCUUCAAAACCUUAAUUGAGAUAUAGCAGCAGAAAAGUGAUAAGUGGAUGCUUUUAAAUAAAAAUUAGGGUUUCAUGAUAGCUUAUAAAUUAUCUCUUAUUAUCCUAAAAUAAAAUUAAGUGUCAUGCAAAAUAAAAUCCUAAAUCCAAUGACAUGGUUCAAAAUAAGAUAAUAUGGUUUAAUAAUUGAAAUAAUAACUCUAAAAUAUUUUAGUAAAAGCAAAGUUGAGACCUUUUAGAUGUCGCGUUUACAUCCUAACCUAACGAAUUAUCUGUCUGGAUGAAAAUUAAAGAAGGAGUGAGCUAUGACGCUUAGUGUGAGUUCCAUCACAAGUAAAUCAGUGCCGAACAGUAAUCCAAGCAUAAAUAAUAACAGUUUUCAAUACAUUAGUAUUCAUAUAGCAUAGCAGAAAUUGGUAGUUCAUUCAAGCAUGUUAAUGCGUGAUGAUGCAAUACAUUUAGCAAUUUCAGUUUAACUGUAUAAUUAAAUCCUACCCCACCGUUACACUCCACAGUAAGAAUUCCCUAUAAUUCCUAUAUCCUGGACACUCUAGUUUGUGGCUAAACCACCAGUGUUACAAAUUGGUACACUGUCAGUAAUUGUGAGUAUACAAUAGGUCAGAAAAAUGCUAAAAGAGGUUAGAUUGUCUAAGAGAGACACAAACUUCACAUUAGCUAGUUUUACAUUUUUCUCUUCAUCUUUUAGGGUUUAGUUCUUCUUCUCCAUAGCUUAGGGUUUAUCUUCUUAUUAAUUUUCUAGUUUUUUCUUACUUCCUUAGUUGGUAGUUAAACUAGUUAUUAUUGUAGCUAGGAUUUAUUUACUUGUUAAGCCCUUCAAACUUUCUUGUAUUUGCACUUUAAUCCAUUAGUUUAAUACCAAUCAGGUUUGUUAUAUUUCAUUUGUUAAAAAAAACUAUCUUGGGUGUUUUUAUUUAUCUUUUUUGCUGCCAUUAUUGUGUUCCUCAAGCUUUUGCAAGAAAGCUUGAGUUUUUAUCAACUUUCUUUUAGGUUAAGUUAAUGGUAUUUCUCUUUGAUUUCUUGUUGUUAAUGGGUUCAAAUAUGAGCAUGAGUAGAUAAAUCCUAAGUGGUUGGUUGAUGAAAGUGGUGGCUAAUUGAUUUUUGGGUUUAGGGACUAAAUCAUAAAAACUAGGCUAAAUUGAAUAGACUUAAAAACUUACAAUUGAUGAUCCUAAAGGAAAAUUAAAAUAAGUGAGACUAAGAGUAGAUCUUAUCGAACAUCAAUUUGUAGUAUUCUAUUUUUUAUAAUUUUAAAUAUGUUUUUUAGUAUAAUUUUAUGAUUUUUAAAUGAAAUACCAAUUUUCGUCAUGUGAUAUAACCUUGAUAGGCCAAAUGAUGACGAAAUUGUGACAAAAAAUCGCAAUAGCUACUCUUAAAUAUUUAUAAAUGAAGGCUUUUGAACUUUUAGGCCAUAAUAAAAAAAGAGAGAAAAUCAUGGUAGUUGGUUCUGUACUGGAUCUAGUCGUAUUGGUCGAUGCCCAUUAUUCUAGUGCUAAAGCGGGACAAGUAGUCUAUUUUUUUGCAUUGGUAAAAAUUUUAGUUUGUACUAGUUACACCGAUUUGUUCUAGUCAAUUUCGAUCACACUGGUCAAAAUAUGAUACAUGAAUAAUAGUAAAAAUUAUAAAAUUUUUAACUAUUUAUGUAACAACCCAAUUUUUAAUGGUGACGGAACAAUGGUUUUGAGACCACAAAUUUCCGUUGUAUUGACUCAUAAAUAUUAUUUUUAGAAUGUUUAUAGAGUCAUUAUAGUCGUAUUAAAAUUUAGUUAAGAAAUAUUAAUGUUUAGUUAGUUAAUUAAAGAAAAAUGACUAAAUUGACAAAACUUACUAAUUAUAGAAAUUAGGUGAUGAAAUGGUGUAAUUAUUAAUUGAGGAAGGACUUAAGUGAUAAUUAAGCCCUAAAUAAUAUAGUGGGACGGCAAAUUGAUGGAUAAGGACAAACUAAUGAAAUUAUACUGGCAAACUUGCAAUUUAGUUGAAAUUAAAACAAAAUUAAGUAAGAAGAAAUAAGUUUUCUUCUUUUUUCACUGUCAAAACACCAUAGAAAUAGCUUGGAGAAUUGGUUGAGCAUAGAAGCUUUCAUGUGAGUUCAAUUCUUACCCGUCUCUUAUAAUUUUUAUGUUUUUGAGAUAGUUGCAACUAGGUCCAGCUAACCCGUACCUUCAUUUCUGAUUCUGUUUAAAAUUCUGGAAGUUUCCAUUGAUAAAUAUUAGAUUUUUUUUAUGAAUAACAUUGAUUUGAAGCUUUGAUUGUGUUGUAUGAUGAUUUUGUAAAGUGAUUUUUGUUAAAUAUUGAUUUUAAGAUUAAAUUGUGAAAAUGUCAAAAUAUUAGAGUUUGAUAGUGAAUUUUAGGUUUAUUAGGGGCUAUAUGAGGGCUUAGAAUAUUUGGAUAGAUUAUUGAUUUGAGAAAAUUAGUUAAUUUGAUAGAUUAACUAAUUAAGGGAUUAAAUUGCAAAAAUUGUAAAAGUUUGAGGUAAUUGCAUAAAUUCAAAAAAUAAAAAGGUAUUAAUCCCAUAAAUACUCGUGGAAAAGGAAAAAUAGUGGAAUAGUCCCUGAACUUCUGCAAUUACUCCAAUUCAGUCCAGGGAAGUUCGUACGGUUAAAAUUUAACAUUUGUAUAAAUUGAUGAUUGGUAUUAUGCAUAUAUUCUAUUGUUAGAAAUGAAUUAUUAUUUGAAUUAUAAUAUUAAAUUGGAUAUUCAGUUUGAAUUGAACGCGAGAUUUGAGUACAUUCAUGAUUUGGUGUAUGACGGGAGUUUGGAGUGGAGCUGGUAUUAUAGGGAGAUAUUGGCAUUUUACCCAAGUAAACUGGGAUUCAACAUUUGUUGCAAACUCUCGUGUUUUACUUUAUGUUUGGCAUGAUUGGGUGGAUCAGCUCUUACGAGCUUCUGUUCAGCUUUCAAGCUUCGUUGGCGUAUUCGGGAGGACCAGCUCUUAUGAGCUUCUGUUGACGAUGUACUCUUACCCGUAAGUCGUUCUUCAAAUGGAAAAAUCUCGGUUGAUUUAUUUAAUGAAUUUAAAAGACAUGUAAUUUAUUUUUGUAUUGAUUUGAAUACGAAUGUUUUUAUCAAUUGAAGUUGUGAAUGACAGGAGUUGUCUUGGAUGAUUUUGAUUAUUUGAUUUAUUAUAGUUAGUUCGGUAAGAUUUUUGUUUAUCUCAUCGAACUUACUAAGCUUCAUUAAGAUUGCUUGUGCUAUUUAAUGUCAUUGUAGAUUUUCGGAAGGUUGGAUGACCGGAUCGGCACUCAAGUCACACUAUCCAGUUUAUCUCGGUAGUUUUUGAAACGUUAAAUUCGGAUUAUAUGGCAUGUAUAGGCUCUUAUGCUAUUUUGGUUAAUGUUUGGCUUAUGUAAAUGUUAUGAAUGAUAUUUUGUGCAAAUAACCAAUUUACAAAGGGUAUGGUAUAGUUGUUAUGCUUGUAUGUGUGGCAUACAUAUAUUUGAUUUGUUGUGGUUGUGGUAACUUUGUUAGGUAUUUUGAUUUGAUAUUGCUUGAAUAAGAUGACGAAUUGAAUUAAUGUGUAUUUUGAGAUUAAAUUGUAUAUAAUUAUGGUACCAAUGAGGGUACAUUGGUUAGGCACAUAUUAGGUUGGUUUUGAUUUGUUUUUAACCCGAUUAAUGUCAUUUUACUUUUGUAUUUUGGUUAGUAUUUGAGUUUCUUAAGGUCC